rnacentral:rRNA from 1 species
CCUACGGGAGGCAGCAGUAGGGAAUCUUCCACAAUGGGCGAAAGCCUGAUGGAGCAACGCCGCGUGGGUGAAGAAGGUCUUCGGAUCGUAAAGCCCUGUUGUUAGAGAAGAAAGUGCGUGAGAGUAACUGUUCACGUUUCGCCGGCUUCUAACCAGAAACCGCCGGCUAACUACGUGCCAGCAGCCGCGGUAAUACGUAGGGGGCAAGCGUUAUCCGGAUUUAUUGGGCGUAAGGGGAACGCAGGCGGUCUUUUAAGUCUGAUGUGAAAGCGUUCGGCUUAACCGGAGUAGUGCAUUGGAAACUGGGAAACUUGAGUGCAGAAGAGGAGAGUGGAACUCCAUGUGUAGCGGUGAAAUGCGUAGAUAUAUGGAAGAACACCAGUGGCGAAAGCGGCUCUCUGGACUGUAACUGACGCUGAGGUUCGAAAGCGUGGGUAGCAAACAGGAUUAGAUACCCGAGUAGUC